ACGCCAAAAGUUUACCCCUAUGAUAAUCUGAGAGUGGAGCUUGGCGGGGAGCCUUAGACCUCGGAAUUGAUGCCAAGUUGCAUUUAUGAGCAGAUGUUGCUGAACCUGGAAUGAUUUCAUUCUAAAUUUGGCUUUCAUUAUGAGCAGUAUGCCGCAUGACUGUAAGAGGCUGCAUAAACUUCGUUUGAAAUGGUUUAAUUUAGAUUGUAGUUGUCUUGAUUUUCGUCUCAAA